CAAGAGCAGAGGGCACGAGCAGCGCACUGACUGCAUCCCAAGCAGAAAGAGGAAGGUGCCGCUGGGCCAGGACGCUCCAGGACAGAAACGCCGGCGCUAGGCGAAGCUGGGUGGGCUCAGCCCGAGCAGGAGCGUCCGCAGAAACCGGCCCACGUGGUGCAGCAGGAGACACGGCCAUAGCCAACAAAGACGGCUCCCUGCAGCCCUGGGCUCCUCGCCGGCCCCCGCGGCGCACAGAGAGCAGCGGCAGUGCUCCAGGGGCACCAGCACCGGCCCCAGCCCUACCCCUCCAAACCUGGGCUGUCCACCA
rnacentral:lncRNA from 1 species